GAUCCUGGCUCAGGAUGAACGCUGGCGGCGUGCUUAACACAUGCAAGUCGAGCGAAGCAAUUUAAGUGAAGUUUUCGGAUGGAUCUUAAAUUGACUGAGCGGGCGGACGGGUGAGUAACGCGUGGAUAACCUGCCUCACGACAGGGGGAUAACAGUUAGAAAUGACUGCUAAUACCGCAUAAGCGCACGGUACCGCAUGGUACAGUGUGAAAACUCCGGUGGUGUGAGAUGGAUCCGCG
rnacentral:rRNA from 1 species